AUCAGCCGCGGUAAUUCCAGCUCCAAUAGCGUAUAUUAAAGUUGUUGCAGUUAAAAAGCUCGUAGUUGAAUUUCGGGGUUAGUAGGCUGGUCGUGCCACUGGUAUGUACUGGUCUUACUGACUUCUCCUUUCUGAAGAACUGUAAUGCCAUUAAUUUGGUGUUGCAGGGAAUCAGGACUGUUACUUUGAAAAAAUUAGAGUGUUUAAAGCAGGCUAACGCUUGAAUACAUUAGCAUGGAAUAAUGAAAUAGGACGUUCGAUCCUAUUUUGUUGGUUUCUAGUAUUGACGUAAUGAUUAAUAGGGAUAGUUGGGGGCAUUAGUAUUCAAUUGUCAGAGGUGAAAUUCUUGGAUUUAU
rnacentral:rRNA from 1 species